UCAUGUUAAUUUAAAAAAAAACUCACAUAUUCACCUAUUCAUCCAAAAAAAAUAUUCACUUAUUCACCCAAACAUCAAUUCACCCAACAAUACAUUUUCCCUUUCUUCCCCAUUUCCAUCUUAGAAUUUUUUUUUUCUAUUUCUUCUCAAAUUUGCUCAAAAGGUCGAGGAAUUAUUAAAGUUCUUCUAAAAAAAUUCCUAUUUCAUCUUAGAAAUUAUUGUCCCAAUUUCUUCAUUGAUUCUUACUUUUCCUUUGAAGAAGUUUUUCUGGAUUUCUUCAUCAUUCUUUAACCUUGAAGAAGUUUUUCCCGUUUUGUUAAAAAAAUUCAAUUCUCUCUUCAAUUGAUUCCUUCAAUUUCCUCUCCAAUCGUUUUCCUUUAGUUUCCUCUUCAAUAUGUAUUCAUCUUCAAUCUUUUUCCUUCAAUCAGAUUUCUCUUACGAUUUAGUGAUUUACGUUUUACGAUUUUUGAUUCACGACUAAGCAGUUCAAGGAUUCAUGAGGCUUUAGGAGCUGGUUUAUCCAAUCUAAAACAUUUCUCAUAAGCAAGUGUUGCAUGACAAAGAAUAAUGAAAAUGACUAAUAGAGUUCCAAAGAUAAAUUUUGAAAACAUAGAGUGAGAGAUUUAGAGAAAGUGUUAGGAGAAAUUGAAAUUAAGAAUGUUGAAUUUGUGUAUCGAUCAAGACCAGACAGUGUGAUUUUAAAUGAUUUUUUUUCUAAAAGUUUCAUCAAGUAAAAUAUUGGCAUUAGUUAGAUUAAGUGGUUUUGGAAAAUCAAUUAUUGUAUCACUUUUGUAAAGAUUUUAUGAUCUAAUUAGUGAAAAAAUAUUUGUUGAUGAAA